rnacentral:rRNA from 1 species
ACUUAGAUCGGCAUCGAACUAGUAUUAAAGGAGCGAAUGCUCCGCUACUGGAUGGACUCGCGGUGCAUUAGCUAGUUGGUGAGGUAGAGGCUCACCAAGGCGAUGAUGCAUAGCCGACCUGAGAGGGUGAACGGCCACAUUGGGACUGAGACACGGCCCAGACUCCUACGGGAGGCAGCAGGUAGGGAAUUUUCGUCAAUGGGGGAAACCCUGAACGAGCAAUGCCGCGUGAGUGAAGAAGGGAUUUCGGUCU